rnacentral:lncRNA from 1 species
GGGGGGGGGUAGGAUGGGUCCUGAUCCCGAAAUCUCGGGCUUAAAAACACGAAAUCCCGAGGUCCCGAAUUUAAAUAAAGUGAUAUCCCGACAUCCUGAAAUCCGAAAAAAGAAUUCCCGGAUGCCGAAAGGGUCAAUCCCGAAAUCCCAUAGCUCAGUAAAAACUGGCCCGAUCCCGAAGUCCCGAUAAAGGUCCCUUCAUCA